rnacentral:rRNA from 1 species
UUAUUGGAGAGUUUGAUCCUGGCUCAGGACGAACGCUGGCGGCGUGCCUAAUACAUGCAAGUCGAGCGAGUCUCUUCGGAGGCUAGCGGCGGACGGGUGAGUAACACGUAGGCAACCUGCCCGUAAGACUGGGAUAACAUAGGGAAACUUAUGCUAAUACCGGAUAGAGUCUUCUCUCGCAUGAGGGAAGACGGAAAGGUGGCGCAAGCUA